rnacentral:rRNA from 1 species
GUCCACGCCCUAAACGAUGUAUACUCGACAUCAGCGAUACACAGUUGGUGUCCAAGCGAAAGCGUUAAGUAUACCACCUGGGAAGUACGUCCGCAAGGAUGAAACUCAAAAGGAAUUGGCGGGGGUCCGCACAAGCGGUGGAGCAUGUGGUUUUAAUUCGAUGAUACGCGAGGAACCUUACCUGGGCUAGAAUGUGACUUGACCGAUCCUGAAAGGGGUCUUUGUAGCAAUACACAAGUUACAAGGUGCUGCAUGGUUGUCGU